rnacentral:rRNA from 1 species
UGCUAAGAGAGGAAGGAAUGGGCAACGGUAGGUCAGCAUGCCCCGAAUUAUCUGGGCUACACGCGGGGCUACAAUGGGUGGGACAAUGGGUAUCGACACCGAAAGGUGAAGGCAAUCUCCUAAACCCAUCCGUAGUUCGGAUUGUGGGCUGCAACUCGCCCACAUGAAGCUGGAAUCUGUAGUAAUCGUGUCUCAAAAUGGCACGGUGAAUAUGUCCCUGCUCCUU